rfam:Capsicum annuum cultivar Zunla-1 chromosome 1, whole genome shotgun sequence
GUCUCUUUGGGGACAUCCGAUAAAAUUGAAACAAUAAAAAGAAGAUUAGCAUGAUUAUUGCACAAGAAUGCCACACACAAAUUGAUAAAUGGUCUUCGUCAGU